AACUCACACAAAUCUAGCAUAACUCACUCAUAUUUUACAUCUCUACUCAUAUUAGUGGCUCCUCAUACCCCUUAUAGUGUCAAAAAAUUUCAUGUAUAGGUUAACCCUUGUAUACCAUGUGUUUUACCCAUAACAUGCCAUUCACUCUACCUGCUUUACCAAAGCCUUACAGUCUGAGUCACCUUGCUUGCUCAACAAAUCCUUAUGGUCAAGGUCAUCCUGCUUGCUCAAUAAAGCCUUAUGGUCUAGACUAGAUUUCUUGGCUUUCCAAGCCUUACGAGUAAAGACUCUGCCUGCUCAACUAAGCCUUACAGACAGAGCGCUAUACUCAGCUUUAGCCAAAAUGGAAAAAAAAUAAGAACCAAUCCGGAUUUACAGUUACGGUAAAACAUAACUUCCAACCCAAACACUGCAUAUAUUAAACAGACCAACCAAUCUGCCAACAACCCAUUCAAGCAUCCUAAACACUUGGCUAAUUAUUAAUCUGCCCAAAAGAAGCGUACCAAGGACAUGACAGACCAGAACCUCUCUACAGAAACCGUGUGUUGCUGUUUGGAUCACUGCACAACUCAGCAGCCCCCCAUACAUCUUGUAAUUCCCCCCAUAAAGCUUAUGAAAUUGAUUUUAGGUACAAGCCUUCGAGUCCUCUACUGCUCUGUUGCAUGUGAUUUGUUAUAGAUAAUUGUUAUGCUAUAAUUAUGCCAAAAACCGUGACUCUAAAGCUACAACUCUAUCUGCCUACUUGACUCUUAAUACUGAUGCAGAAGUUCCACAGUGCCUGGCUAUACAAUCCAGAAUUAUCUCUUAAUCCAAGCAUAGCAACGUGUACUUCUCUGUUAGCCAUCUGAAUUCCACGGUGGUGUUCACCGCGUAAAGUCG
rnacentral:sRNA from 1 species